AAUAGUUUUAGUGUUUAGUGUGCCUAUGAUGAUAUAUAACAAGGAGCAAAGCCCAACACAGGCCCAGUAGUAAAAGAAGAGCAUUCAAACACAACAAAGGCAAUGAAGAAGCAAAAUGCUGUUUACAAGAUUGAUUGAUGAUGAUGACGACGAUGUCAAUGCAUCCAAAACUCUGUCAAAAGAAAGUCAUUCAUCCUCCUCACAGUGACAUCAUCCAAAACCUAAUCUCAUAUCAUCUAAACCAUAGAGCAAACCAUAAUCCUCUGUCUCCUAAUACAUAAAGGCCAAAAUCAACGAGAAGAGGUGUGGUGUGUGUUUCAGUGUUUGUUCUUGAUCUUAACACCAAGCUCACCUGCAAUGAUAACAGUAGAAGCCAUAUCCAGAAACAUCCCAUGUUCCACUACUCCCGGUAGCCUCAGAAUCGCAUCACUCACUGCUCCCAAAUCUCCCAUAUCCUCUUCCACAUGCAUAUCCACUAUGUAAUUCCCAUUGUCUGUCACAAAGGCCUUCCCUUUCUCUCCCAACCGAAGAUUCGCUUCACACCCGUAUCCUUCCAGCAGACUCCGGAGCUUCUCCGCCGUGAACUUCCAGCAAAAGGGCACUAUCUCCACCGGAAGAG